AAGUUUCGGCUCACUCAAGGGAAGUUGGCUCAUCCCCUUAGAAAGGGGGUGAUGCGUAUGACAACAUAUGAAGUCAUCUCUUUAAUGAUUGCUUUUGGCAUGUUAAUUGCCGUGUUGUCUAACAAAGAAAAAUAGACUUCCCUUGAGCCCGCCAAAGUUCAAAGGGAAAGUCUAUUUCAAAUGACAUAUGAGCCAAGCCCUUGUCGGGCCGCUUUGUACGAAUGAC
rnacentral:sRNA from 1 species